GUACAGCCUCCCACAUUGGUGCCACAUGGGAACAUAUCCUGCACCUUCUGAGGAUGAUCCAUGAAGAGGAUGACAUGUUGGUGAUAUGUCAUGGUGACAGAGCAAGUUCUGGAGAUAAUUGGCCACCUCUUCUUUCUCAUGGCACCAGGCAAACUCAGAAACCAAGUGAACGAGUUAAUCCGAUGGUUAAUGACUUUGAUAUCUGCAAAAGUGAAGCCUUGCUACAUUUCUCAGUGUGUUUGCCAGUUGGUGGAUGCUCUGGCUCUCAGCCGCUGCGGAGGUGCAAACUUGCAAUCCCAGCUGGAAAAUAUUAUAGGCGUGCUGUUCGUGCAGCUGAGUGAAAAUGUCAACAACUCAGAUCCUUACUCCAUACAGAACCACAGCCCCGCCCUGAGGACUUUCUACUUCCUGACCAAGUUAUACAGUGAUCAGGUGGUAUUCCUAAUACGAAAGACCAUGGAAUCCAAUGAUCCAAUCAAGAUAGUACCAGCCCUUCAAGUCUUCAUGGAUGUGUUCCAGGAUGUGUCCCAGACAGAGAAUCUGAAGAGUGAGGUGAUGCACUCAGUCGUUGCCGUGAUUCAGGAGGAUCUCAAACCAGUGAGCAGAAAGGCGGAAUGUUUGGGUUGGGAGGGCCAUUGCUUUCUUGAGACCUUGAGGUCACGGAAAAUGGAAAAGGAGAGGCUGUUGGGGGAUGAGGAGAGAGAUAAGGCACACUUCACAAGCCAGUUCUGGCCUCAGACCACUGCCCAUGGGUUACAUUUGGGCUCUUCGAAGCCUGAGAAGGGUUUGGGAAGUAGGCAGGUGGUUCCUCCCUACUUUCAGAGUCUUUUCUGUGGGCGGCACUGUCUUAUGCCUGGUGGGGACAUGGAGCUCUAAGAGAUACUAAUUCUGCCUCCUGAGAAUUCACGACUUGCUUGCAGAGAGAAGAUCUCAAAGAUCCUCUCUGCAUGGGGUCUGAGAAGCCAUGUCUUUAACGAGCUCUGCAGGCAGGGUUGGAGGCAGCAGAGACUGCUUCCAGCUUUGGAUUGUGCAGGACAGGGGAGCAAGGGGGCAGUGGUU
rnacentral:lncRNA from 1 species